rnacentral:rRNA from 1 species
UGGGGAAUAUUGGACAAUGGGCGAAAGCCUGAUCCAGCCAUGCCGCGUGUGUGAAGAAGGUCUUCGGAUUGUAAAGCACUUUAAGUUGGGAGGAAGGGCAGUAAGCGAAUACCUUGCUGUUUUGACGUUACCGACAGAAUAAGCACCGGCUAACUCUGUGCCAGCAGCCGCGGUAAUACAGAGGGUGCAAGCGUUAAUCGGAAUUACUGGGCGUAAAGCGCGCGUAGGUGGUUCGUUAAGUUGAAUGUGAAAGCCCCGGGCUCAACCUGGGAACUGCAUCCAAAACUGGCGGGCUAGAGUAGGGCAGAGGGUGGUGGAAUUUCCUGUGUAGCGGUGAAAUGCGUAGAUAUAGGAAGGAACACCAGUGGCGAAGGCGACCACCUGGGCUCAUACUGACGCUGAGGUGCGAAAGCGUGGGGAGCAAACAGG